UACCCGGCUCUGGCUUUUUUUUCCAAUACAUUUAUUUUGUAUCUGCGUAGGUAUGCACAUGCCAUGGGGUUGGUAUGGAGGUCAGAGGACCACCUGUGGGAGUUGGUUCUCUCCUUCCUCCAGGGGGGUUCUGGGGAUCCAGCUCAGGCUGUCAGUCAUGGCAGCAAGCACCUUUACUCCCUGAAUCACCCCUCAGCCAAUAUUUUUAAGGGUCUCGUGUAGCCCAGGUUGGCCCCCAACUUGCUAUGUAGCCAUGGAUAACCUUGAACUUCUUCUCUUCACCUUCCAAAUGCUAAGAUUAUAAGCAUGUGCUAUACUCAGUGUACAAGGGGCAGAGGAUGUGACCCAUGGCUUCCUGUAUGCAAGCUCCCUACCAGCCAGCUUUAUCUCCAGCAUUCAUAUGUUUUAUGGUGUGUGUGUGGGGGUCAGAUAACUCAAAAACAUGUUCCCUUCUACCACAAGGGUCCUGGGUGUUGAACUUAGGUCGUCAAGUAUGGCAGCAAGCUCAUUUACCAGCUGAGCAAUCAUACUGACCUAAAAUUUUCUUAAGAUGUCACUAUUUAUGGUACAUCCUUUGUGUCUACUUAGAUCUAUGUCAUUAAUAUUAGCAAACAAAAGAAUGGAGGUGCUAGGCAUUCAGGACAGUUGGCAUUUUGACUAAGGAUGGCAGGACCCAUCCUCACUUCUUUAUUUUUUUUUUUUUUUGGUUUUACAAGACAGGGUUUAGAGAUCCGCCUGCCUCUGCCUCCCAAGUGCUGGGAUUAAAGGCGUGCACCACCGCCGGACCCCAUCCUCACUUCUUAAGCCACUGAGCUCACUUUCCCAAUCCUGAGUGAAAACAUCUGGGAGCUUUUCCAUAACAGAAACUUUGUGAGCUGGGCCUGGCUCAAGCCCCACCUCUAAGGAUGCCUUCCUCUAGGUGAUUUUCAGAUGCACAGUUUGAUCCUCAGGGGUGUGGUUGGUGCACCUCUGCUGUCGAAGCGCUUGGGAGGUGGAGGCAGGAGGAGCCAGCCGUUCGAGGUUACCAUUGCAGAUGUGAGUGGGGGAAAGGAAACAUUUGGGAAGUAAAACUUGAUUGUUUGUUUUGGUUCUGGUUUGUUUUUCCGAGACAUUGUUUCUUUGUGUAACCCUGAUUGUCCUGGACUACAUCUGUAGACUAGGCUGGCCUUGAACUCACAGAGAUCCGCCUGCCUCUGUCUCCCCAGUGCUGGGAUUAAAGCCAUGCACCACCACACCUGGCAAGAACUGAUAUUUUUGCUUUUGCAAAUUAUGCCCCAUGCGCUGUCCUACGCCAUGUGUACCCAUCCUGAGGACAGCUGAGGAGAGUACCCAUCCUGAGGACAGCUGAGGAGAGUGUUGUGGGGAUGUCCUUGUUACUGACUGGGUGCAGAUCUGACAGGGGAUGCUCGUCGGGUUGACUUUCAGAGUGGUGGUUCUUUAUAUGCCAGAGCCAUAGGCAUCGCCCGGGAAGUGGUUGGACUCCCUGAAUGAAAAGCAAGGAAGUGGGAUCUAGCAAUUGUGUGUGUGUUGCCAUGGAUAGGACACAGUGCCUUAGCACAUUAUGAGGCAAGCACUCUACCACUGAACCACACAGCCAGCCCAGCAAUCUGUCUCCAAGCUAACAAGCUGCUUGGUAGUGAUCCGGAAGCAGGACCAAGUUCAAGCUCAGCUGGUAGAAUGGAAGGGACCACAUGUAAAUCAUUUACUUCACUCAACAGCUUCCCCCUCCAACAUCACUCCAAAACCAACGGCGACCGAACUGGACUUUGGACCUAGACAUGUGUGGUGCCAUUAUCCUUCCCCCACCUCCGUAGGACGUGCAGCACUCAGGCCCAGGUUAAUAUCACACUUGAUUUUUAUCACGCAAGACUGGGGUGCUUCCAUCUGGAGAAUUUUAUUCACCACCGUUGCUUGUACUGUUCUAAGCCACGUCUUUUUCAUGUAUCAAAUUAACCCUUAAUUCGGCGGUCUUCAGUUUCGACUGAUCCUAGAGAGCUUGAAAAACCACCGACAUUUGGGUCACAGCCCAAGUUUCUGACUUAACAAGAUCUGGAUCGGUUCUUCACUCCGGCCCACCGAGAACCGCUGCUGGAGAGCAGGCAGGCACAGACGUUGCAGACCAGCCAGGAUCGGGUGGCCCACUUGCCCACCAGGUGAUAGGGAAGGAGCACAGCACCUGCUCUCUGUGAGGCCUGUCUGUUGGCCCAGUGGUGUCUCUCGCCAAGGAGGAGCUUGUAAGAUCCAGUGAGGAUGGUCUUGACCUGGUGGUGGUUCGAGCUCUCUGAAAUUCUUAAACUCCAGCUCUCUCUGAGUUGGAAGAAGAUGCAAGGUACCCAAAACACUGCUACAGUCUCAGAGGAUCGCAUUUUGGAAUAGUGACCUGCCCUUGAGCCCACUAAGUGUCACUCCCCACUUCUCAUUUCUUGGCUCUGAAUUUAGAGCUGUCCCCUUAGCAACCAUGGUUUCCAUGGUUUCCUCCAUGACAACGAUCCCCAAACCCCUCCUCUCUUUUACCUCAUGACAGUAAUGGGUGAUAGGAAUCCUCAGUGUGGCCACUCCAUGUAACCAUGGUAACAAUUAAUUGAGCCUUCAUGUAUCUUUUGUGAGGCAGGCUGGGAGAAUAUGAAGCUUUAGAUAAGGAGGAAGAGCCCGAGGUGGGGGUAGGCACAGCACUUGAACUACCAUUGUCACAGAGAAGUCAGAGGGCUUUUCUUGGUACUGUCCCGGAAGAUUUAGUCUUGAGCCCCUGCUUCAACCUUGGAAGAAUCAGAGCCCCUACUAUGGAAGCACAGCCUCGCCCUGGAGCGCAUGGUCCCACUGAAUUCAGCCCAGCAUGGGGAGGGGGGAGAAGGUGUCCCUUGAUGGUGUCUGUCCCAAGAAUCCAGGAGGGACAAACUGAGCCUGUACUCACAGUCAGGCAUCCUCCAGGUGUGCUUGUCCCGGACGAAGAGAAUCUUCAGUGGACUCCCCCGACGCACCUUUUCCCUGAGAACUGGAAUCCACAUCCGCAUUUCAGGGCUUGGAGCAGAGAAGAAGGAAACAAACGGUGACAGAAAAGCUGACCUGCCCCCACACUGUUCCAGGGACCAUCACCUACCUGCCAGGAGCCUUCCCGAACAGUGGCCAGUCUGCCCUUCUCCUGUAUUUGAGUCACUGUCUCCAUCCAUCCUGUUUUCACACCGAAAGGGCAGCUGCCAACAUGCCAAAGAGCAAACGCAAAACCAUCCUAGAGCGCCAAGGCUGAGCAGAGUCCCCAGCACAGAGAUGCCUGCCCAUCGCAGGGAUUCCCUAGACACUCGGACCCCUGGAGAAAUGAGAAAGCCGAGCCCCCCUCCCAUUCCCUUCCUGUACAAACCGCAUCUCACCUCCUGGCCUCGUCUGAACGGAUUCUGUGGAAGCGUGGGGGAAUGGGCCUCGCAGGGUGAUCAGAGCGUGGGAACCGACCUCAGAUUCUGGGAGGACCAGGUGCUGUCCAGCUUCUGGUGCUGAAUGAAUGGUGCUGAAGCUGGAUUCCUCAGGGAGGGGCUGCAGGGACCUUAAUACGGGAUCCUGACCUCUAGACAGGGACCCACAGAGUAGAAAGAGGAGCCUUGGAUGUGUGUGCCCCGUUUUCACCUUUUCAGUAGCUGCUCCCCCGGCCCCCACAGUCCCUUGACUUCCCCGGGCUAGCGGGGCCACCAGCUGAUGGCGCAAGGGUAGGAAGGGGGGUUGGUUGCGUUGGGCUGGUUACCCUCUGCUUCUCCCGGCACUGUAUACGUUUGCCUUCUGUGUGCGCUGGACCCUCGAGAUGUUCCCCAGCAGGAUCACGGCUGACUUCUGCGUGGACUCCUGGCGCUCCGACCUUGCGGGACGCUUUCCUGCAGGCAACAGGUCGGCUGCAUCUGGAGUUUGGGCGGAAGGCGUGGAAGACCCGGCGGCGGCAGCGCGGGGCUUCGCCCUCACACCCCUUUCUUUACUCCAGGUGGCCAGAGAGCUCAGUGCGGGCUCCCGAGCCGGUUUCUCAGCCCUCCGGUCUGGAGGAAGGGAGACACCAUACCCGCGGUCAAGCGGCCCCCUCCCCUAUCCUCCCCUCCCCUCCGGGGCAGCCGCGGGAGCUGGGGUUGGGGCUUGGGGUUGGGCUGCUCCUCAAAUCUGAGUCUUGACCAGGGGAAGGGACUGGAUGGGAGCGCUGGCUGGGAUUGAGACAGCCGUGGGGGUGGAGGGUAGCCUCUGCUCUCUGAUUCCUUCUGGAAGAAACCCCCUCCACCCCGGAGAGCCUUCGGUGGGUACUUGCCAGUCUCCGGCCGUCUGUCCUGUCCGCCGCAGUGCUCGCGCUAAGGGGAGACAGGUAGGUCUGGAGUCGCAGCAUGCUCCCAAGCGUGGACAUGGUGGCCGCCGGCUGGACUUCGGAGGGACAGGGGCACAGCUGCUUUAAAGGCGAGACCAGCCUACAGGUGGCCUGUCAGGGAGGCUGACGUCUCUGACGUCAUCUUGAAGGCAAGCGGGGGGGGGGGAGGAUGGAGAGGAGGGGGUCAUCGUGCUUCACAUCAAAAGUCCCCUGUGGCCAUGGCAACAGCUUCCGAGGAGAGGCGAAGGGAUCCAACGCCUGCCCAAAGCCCCCCUCUCUCUCCAGAGGGCCCCAGUGAGCGGCUUCAGGAGUCCUGAAUUUAGCCUGGCUCGCACCUAGCAAUGCAAUCAGUGUAGGGUCCUCCUCGGGGUCCUUGCCCAGGCUGGUGAGAACCUGAGGUCGGCUGCCCUUAGGCUCUCAGAGGUGACCUAGCAGAAUCCUGCAUUUCAUAAGGUCACUUCUAGCCUCCAACUCCAUCCCCACCCAGCCGGUGAGAUCUGGUUCACCUGACCACACGCAGCGAUUUUUCUUUAAUUCAAGGACUUCAAAGCUCAAGGCUCCCACUCACUCUCCACCGACUGGCGCUCCUGGGCUCCCCCCACCCACGAGGCGGCACCCACGCAGAGCCACCUGUCUCUCGUUCCUCAUACCUGACCUGGAAGCUCGCCCAGGGCUCCAGAAAGCAACCAACCAGACCAGGAAAUAGUAAACCCUCCUAGGAUCUUGGGCAACGAACUCCGUAGACACAGAAGCAUUUACUGACCCUCUCCCUAGUCAGAAAGAUUGGGAGAAUUCCAUAUGGAAAUCUGGAUUUUCCUCUUCCAUGGAGACCUGAUGCACUACAUGCUUCCCUUGUUGAAACGGCCUGCCUCUCCUUUUGUCACCUGUCUCAUAUACAUUUCUCCUUAUAAUAAAGGGGGAGGUGACUUUUGUUUCACCCUCGCCUGUGUCACUUCACCGGUGCUUGCUAUUCACAGGGUCUUGGAGGCACUGCUCAGACGUUAGUGAUAGCUUUCCCCAGGGGCAAUUCCCUCACUGGAAAGUGCCCCGCAGGCCCAACUCUGGCCCAGGCCAGAAGAGAGCACCAGAUCUCAUUAUAAAUGGAGACACCAUGCGAUUGCUGGGA